AGUAAAAAGCAUAAAACAAAACUGUACCAGUAUGCUAGCCAUACGAAAGGGAAAAUAACUGCGUCUUAAGUCUGUACUUGAAAGUCUCCACAGAAUCUGACUGUUUUAUUGAUACACGGAGAUCAUUCCGCAGAACAGAGGCACGAUAAAAGAAAACUCUAUGACCUGCAGACUUCUUAUUCACCCUAGGGACACAAAGUAGUUCACAUACCACAG